rnacentral:lncRNA from 1 species
CCGAACCGAGUGCACCUGCUGCAGCCUGGCACUAGGGAUUUGAAAAUCCAUGGAGAUGGAAACCUAUGCCGAGGUUAGAAGACCUAGAUCCACUUUGCAGGAUUUUAAAUAUCCUUCAAGCCUCAGUGCCUGGCAGACUGGACUUCGGACUUCCAGCUCCGAUGCUGAAAAAGGAGUUGUUUUUUUUUUUUCCCCCACUUUGCUUCCUUCCUUGUUGAGGCUGAGAACAUACCGUGCUUUGGAGGGCCACCAUCUAGGGGUACUCGCUUCUCCAAACCUUGGAACCCGAGGUCUAGCCUUGGAAAGAGUUGCCGCCUUACCGUCUCUCCUCGCCUGGAGAAGCCCCAGCUAUGUGCGCUACUGCAGGGUCACAGUGCCGCGGUGGCGAGCUUCUUUCGUGGUCCCUGUCGCCGUCAGUUUCUUGAGAUUUCAGACUCUGGGCUUGGAAACCAGUUGACUGCCUUUCUUAGCGAGGUGCCAUCGGAAACCUGUGGAGGAAUGUUUGGAUUAUGAAUGCUCGCCGUGCCGAGGUAAAGCAUAGGGCUUUGGCGCCUUCGUGCCCUGUGGUCAGCGGUGGGGCAGAUCGGACGUUGCAGAAGCACUUUCCUGCAGUGUUUAGAAGGUGCUACCCACCUUCAGCUGGCUGUAGUUGGAAUGACCCUCGGCUGGACUUUGGGAACUCAUUUGAACUAGUUAGAAGCUUCGAAGUACCUAACAGGAAGCGGCGAGGGUGGGGUGGGGGUGGGAUUAGAAUUUAGCCUGGUCCAUUGGGACACAUGGAUACCCCAGUGUAAAUGAUCCUGACCUCAGCUNNNNNNNNNNNNNNNCCCCCCCCCCCCAAGGCUACAUACGCAGCUCUGCCCUUUGCUUCAUUUUCCCUAGGUUUUGAGACUACUGUAAGACAGAUGAGAAAACCUGAGGUUCCUGUUGCUUUCCCUCCUCCUUGCUUUGACCAAACUCUGCUGAACAAGGAUUCUCUACCAAA